CUGAAUCAAUCAAUCUCUAUUGAAUUGGAGUUACCUUUUUUAUUCUUCCAUUUGAUUGAGGGUUGUUACAAUAAAAAACCCUAAAUUCAGUGUUUCCUUUCAUCCUUUGCCUCCCAAUUGAAAGAACCCUAGAUCUCAUCUCUGUACCUGGUUAUGAUCAAUUAUGAUCAAUCUUCAAAGUCUACCCAUCGGUACUUAUGUCAUCUUCCUCAAGAUCUACAUAUAUAAUGAGAACGGUUUGCGUGUUUGAAAGUCCCAAAGGAACAAAAAUUUUCAAAAGUUGCUAGGGAUUUGAUUUUUCAUUUUCCAUGUGAUGUGGAAUCAAGGUUAGGUACCGGUGGAAUUGAGGAAACAAAGGUAAAUCAAUUUGAGUUCGGACAAUCUUAACACAGGCCAAACUGUAGACAAGUUGUUAGUAAAUGGAUUUUCUGAUUCGUGAGGUUCGAAAGGCUAAAUUAUUUCCAAAGCAACAUCACCAGCCUUAUGUGAAGGGGUCAACUUAAGUCAAACUUCAUUUGCAGUUGUAGUGUUUUUGAAGCGGAAGUUUCAAAGAUGGAAAACAAGAAUUGAACCAUUUAUGAACCUUCAUUAUAUCGAGUUUCCUCAAGAAUUUGAAGACAGAUGCGCGUCUUGAUUAAUAUGAUGCAAGAAUCCAUUCACAUUUUCUUUAUAACAUCAAUUAAUGUGCCGCCCUGAUGGAAGAGAUAGAAGCAUUGGUUAACCGACACCCAGAUAAACUCCACAUGGAGACAUUUCGAAGGUCAAAUAAGGUAUACAAUGCUGAACUGAAUGUCGUUACAUAUUGCCAGAACAGAACAGCUAUUGAAGACAAAUCGAAGUUUCGAAUACUUCUUCUGCACAAAAUUUUCGCUCAGCCUCUCUAAAAGGAAUUGAACCAUUUAUGAACCUUCACUAUAUCAAGUUUCCUCAAGAAUUUGAAGACAGAUGCGCUUCUUGAUUAAUAUGAUGCAAGAAUCCAUUCACAUUUUUUUUAUAACAUCAAUUAAUGGUGAUAUCAUUCGACUUUGACGGACGAAAUUACAAGAAUACAUAAUAUAACUUAGGAUCUUGACCUGUAACAAAAUUGUACAUACCCCAUAUGGAACACUUGAAAAUAGUAAAAUUUGAUUGAUUGGCUUUGAGACACAAUGCAUGGGAGCUUUCGAACAAAUAAAGGCUAAACAAAAGGUGCUUAGAGGAAAGUAUUCAACGAGUGGAAAGAAGUCAGGAGCUAACUUUCCUAUGGUUAAAACAUAAAGCAAAAAUUGAGAAUUUAGACAUGG
rnacentral:lncRNA from 1 species